AUCAAAUCUACCGUGUCGUAACCAGUCAUUCGACUUAAGACAUGGCUUGAAUGUUUAUUCGAAUCCUUUGCGGACUGGAAAUCCCUCCAAAUUGACGAAGAACGAAUAAUGUCGGUACAGUGGAAAGUGCAUGGCUUGAAAUGCAUCUAAAUAGGCAAUAAAGGAUGGAGUGUUUCAACUGAAUACCAAAAAUAUUUACACUGUGAAAUGCUCGAAAUAUUUAUACUGUGAAGGGCUCUAAAGUAAGUGAAAUUCCUCAUUAUUUUUACAUUGUAGUGUAUAAUUUACAAGGAUUUAUAAAUUCGAAAAUGGUCUUAACAGUUAGUGCGGAUUUGUAUUUAAUAACAAUAUAAUUAGAGCUCGUGCCAAGCACUUUUGUUGCCAAUUGCCAUACUGUGUUUCCUCGAAGAUCAGUAUAGAUGAUGUUUGGAGGGGAGGUAGUUUGAUAUUAACAGAGGUUUCUAAUUUCUCUGGGUUUGGUGUACAGUACCAAACUAGGCAGCUUGCUUUACUUGGACAAAUUUAAUCUCGGUUUACACGAGAUUAUAACCUCACGUGCUCAGACCUUUAUUUGGUUUAUUUGUCUCGCAGCAGACAGCAAAGAAAAAUGUAGCCUGACGCAACUUCAUGUCCUGUACAGUUGUAGC